rnacentral:rRNA from 1 species
CCUUAACCUGCUAACUAGCCCGCGCCGCCCUGGCGGCACGCCGGCUUCUUAGAGGGACUAUCGGUGCAAGCCGAUGGAAGUUUGAGGCAAUAACAGGUCUGUGAUGCCCUUAGAUGUUCUGGGCCGCACGCGCGCUACACUGACAGAGCCAGCGAGUACUCCCUUGGCCGGAAGGCCUGGGUAAUCUUGUCAAACUCUGUCGUGCUGGGGAUAGAGCAUUGCAAUUCUUGCUCUUCAACGAGGAAUUCCUAGUAAGCGCAAGUCAUCAGCUUGCGCUGAUUACGUCCCUGCCCUUUGUACACACCGCCCGUCGCUACUACCGAUUGAAUGGCUCAGUGAGGCUUCCGGACCGGCCCCGGGAGGUCGGCGACGACCACCCCCGGCUGGGAAGUUAUCCAAACUCGGUCAUUUAGAGGAAGUAAAAGUCG